rnacentral:rRNA from 1 species
UACGAAGGGGGCUAGCGUUGUUCGGAAUUACUGGGCGUAAAGCGCACGUAGGCGGAUUUGUAAGUCAGGGGUGAAAUCCCGGGGCUCAACCUCGGAACUGCCUUUGAUACUGCAAGUCUCGAGUCCGAUAGAGGUGAGUGGAAUUCCUAGUGUAGAGGUGAAAUUCGUAGAUAUUAGGAAGAACACCAGUGGCGAAGGCGGCGAUCUGGGAAGAUACUGACGCUGAGGUGCGAAAGCGUGGGGAGCAAACAGG